rnacentral:rRNA from 1 species
UACGUAGGUGGCAAGCGUUGUCCGGAAUUAUUGGGCGUAAAGCGCGCGAAGGCGGCCUUUUAAGUCUGAUGUGAAAGCCCACGGCUCAACCGUGGAAGGUCAUUGGAAACUGAGAGGCUUGAGUACAGAAGAGGAAAGCGGAAUUCCACGUGUAGCGGUGAAAUGCGUAGAGAUGUGGAGGAACACCAGUGGCGAAGGCGGCUUUCUGGUCUGUAACUGACGCUGAGGCGCGAAAGCGUGGGGAGCAAACAGG